rnacentral:rRNA from 1 species
UACGAGAGCCCCGAGCGUUAUCCGGAAUUAUUGGGCGUAAAGGGUGUGUAGGCGGUCAUGUUAGUCUUGUGUGAAAUCCUGUCGCUUAACGACAGACCCGCACAGGAAACGGCACGACUAUAGAAGGUGCAAGAGGUGUACGGAACUCAUGGUGUAGGGGUGAAAUCCGUUGAUAUCAUGGGGAACGCCAAAAGCGAAGGCAGUACACUGGUGCAUUCUUGACGCUGAGACACGAAAGCGUGGGUAGCGA